rnacentral:rRNA from 1 species
AUGGCGGUGCUACAAAGACAACAGAGAGAGAGAGAGCAGUGUGAGAGAGAGAGAGAGAGAAAGAGACCAGAGGGUGAGACAGAGGGGAAACAAGGAAGGAGAAGGGCGCGAGGGAAGAGGCCGGUCCUGGUGGCUUGCGGUCGCCGACGGCAUGGAGACGAGCAGAGGCAGGUGAAGAUGGUGACGUCGAUCCAGAUUAGAUCGAGCGCUGCGGGAGGUUGUGGGAGGCUCGGGGCUAUGCAUGUUGGGAGCCUUCUGGGCCGUCGGAUCAGAGAUCUGGCGGUCCAGAUCGGUGGGAGGUGGCGGCGGUGGUUGGUGGAGUGGAUCCGAGAAAGAUGCUACAUGCAAGUGAAUGAAAAGGCAACAACAGCGAAAAACUGGAAGACACCUGGCGCAUCGGUAUCGGGGCGUUACAACACUCCACCACUACAAGAGGAUCUUUUCCCGAGAUCUAGGAUGGCACUGGAGAGUAGCAGAAGAGGAAGAGAAGAGGUUAAACAAUUUCGAGAAAAGAAUACAACGGCGAUGAUCGAAGUUGAAAACAUUCCGUUAGAAAAGAGGAACAAGGAACAUCAUUAG